GAUGAACGCUAGCGGCAGGCCUAACACAUGCAAGUCGAGGGGGAGGUUACUUUCGGGUAACUGAGACCGGCGUACGGGUGCGUAACGCGUAUACAAUCUGCCUUUCACUGGGGGAUAGCCCGAAGAAAUUUGGAUUAAUACCCCAUAGUAUAGUAAUACGGCAUCGUGAUGCUAUUAAAGCUUAGGCGGUGAAAGUUGAGUAUGCGUUCUAUUAGCUAGUUGGUGAGGUAACGGCUCCCCAAGGCGAUGAUAGAUAGGGGUUCUGAGAGGGAUGUCCCCCACACUGGUACUGAGAUACGGACCAGACUCCUACGGGAGGCAGCAGUGAGGAAUAUUAGACAAUGGUCGGAAGACUGAUCCAGCCAUGCCGCGUGCAGGAGGAAGGUCUUAUGGAUUGUAAACUGCUUUUGAAAGGGAAGAAUAAGGGCUACGCGUAGUUUGAUGACGGUACCUUACGAAUAAGCAUCGGCUAACUCCGUG
rnacentral:rRNA from 1 species